CAGAGAACAUCGCCCUCACGGGUGACUCUCCAACCCUUAUGUUAUUAAACCUUUGUUGCUUUGGCGAGCCGCCCCGGCCACCGGCUUCCCGCUGGUGAGUGCUCGCCAGAGGACCCCAAACUCUGAACUGUUAGUGUCGUCUGAGUACUAUAUCUUAAUAGUUA
rnacentral:misc_RNA from 1 species